CCAGCACCUGCGGUAAUUCCAGCUCCAAUAGCGUAUAUUUAAGUUGUUGCAGUUAAAAAGCUCGUAGUUGGAUUUCGGGUGGGGUUGUGCGGUCCGCCUCUGGUGUGCACUGCUCGGCUCCACCUUCCUGCCGGGGACGGGCUCCUGGGCUUCACUGUUCGGGACUCGGAGUCGGCGAGGUUACUUUGAGUAAAUUAGAGUGUUCAAAGCAAGCGUUCGCUAUGAAUACAUUAGCAUGGAAUAACAUGAUAGGACUCUGGCUUAUCUUGUUGGUCUGUAAGACCGGAGUAAUGAUUAAGAGGGACAGUCGGGGGCAUUCGUAUUUCAUUGUCAGAGGUGAAAUUCUUGGAUUUAUGAAAGACGAACUUCUGCGAAAGCAUUUGCCAAGGAUGUUUUCAUCAAUCAAGAACGAAAGU
rnacentral:rRNA from 1 species